rnacentral:tRNA from 1 species
AGCCCAACCGAACCCCUGAGGCCCCUCCUAAGGAGCAGGUCGUGCGUUCGAAUCGCAUCGGGGCCACCA